AGGUGUUUACAAAUUCGUAUUUCAAUACGACUAACAAUAAGUUUACGGUGCUCUUCUGUUUGGAAUUAGGAAACAGAUUCGAGGAGAAAACAGGCGAGGAACGUUGUGUAUUCAACAGAUUCAACGUGAUCAUCUUUCGGGUCUCGAAGGACGGAAACGAGGAAGUGGGAAGAAACCUUGUAGCCAGAGAAUGUUGGGAGUCGAAGAAAUGGAAGGAGAUACAAGGGUUAACUGGCAGCGACAGGUGAAGCAGAAGAUCCAACGCUGUCAGAAAAGAAUUAAUAGGAACGGUCAGGAAUAACACAAUCGCACGUCGAGUAAUGUCCAGGAGUAUCAGGUCGUUGGUGGGGCAUAACAAGGUUGGUCCGAGUUCUUCCUCGUCGGGAUCAUUCUAGUAGGCGGUACCAACUUAGCCAGGCCUACCUUUCUUCUGACUCGAGUCUGACAAUGGAUCAGCAACAAUACAAGCAUCACAUGACCGUUUGAACCUUGUCUUCCUCCGACAUACACCGAAUUAUGAUACAUGCUGAGUCUGAAUGAAAAAUAAAGCCAAUUCCGAACAGACCAGGAUGAUAUGCUACUGGUAUUGAGCUGCUAAUCCUUAUACGACAGAUGAAGGGUCAUUUUGAUGCAGUACGUAUUAUAUAUUCCCAUGUGUAAGGAAAAGUUAAGGCCGAACUGAAGAGGCAAACUUUACAUGAAGCCAAGUAGAUUUUGUGAGUAUUCUGAUUACCGAUACAUCUAUUUAUCAAAAAUUCCAAAUACAUCAUCGAGAAAAAUGAAAGAUUUCUUCGUAGAGGAUGUCGAAUCGUCCAGGAACGUGGCAGAAUUGUUUGAGUAAUAAAAAAUCGUAUAUACAUCUGGUGAGUUAUUUGUCUGUAACGAAUAGCUGGCAUUAGUUAACAGGAUAUCAAAAGGAUACCUCGAGCCAGGCCACCAAGGCACCAGGAGACCCCACCCAGUUGAUGCCCGGUGUAACAUCAGGAACGAAACCCUCUACCGAACACAAUGCCUCGAACCUGAGACUCUAUCGCGAUAUUAUCCGGUUAUAAAUUGGAACACAGCAUCGUCCUGGCAUUAUGAUGUCUCUAAUAUGUCUUUUUCUUCGCUGGCCACUGACCACAACCGAUCUGUGUGCCGAUCACCGGCUUCCAUUUCGAUUCCCACAGCAUUUAGAUAUCUGGCAAAUCGUUUCAAUUUUCAUCAGUAAUUCUACCCACCCCUUUUACGAUCCUUUAAGCUGAUUAUUUUCUUAAACAAUCUUUAAUCCUUAGAUCAGUGAGUUUAACUGAGGUAAAAAUUAUUUCAUGUCCGAGCUGAUGUUCGAACGGUUUUUAACAAAGGUAAAGUAUAUUUACUGGGUAUAUACCAUAUAGGUAUAUGGUAGAAAAGUGGCGUGGAAGUUGCAAGAUCCUCGACCUCUUCCGUCGACCAGGAAUUAUUCAAAAUCCUUGCUCGUACGACUGCUCGAGAUAAAUAACGUUCACCUUCUGCCUUCCUCCUCUUUUUCCCUUAUUCACCAAGCCUCCAUCGGAUGU